GAAACCAACAGGGAUUGCCCUAGUAACGGCGAGUGAAGCGGCAACAGCUCAAAUUUGAAAUCUGGCCCUUGGGUCCGAAUUGUAAUUUGUAGAGGAUGAUUUUGGUGCGGUAUCUUCCGAGUUCCUUGGAACAGGACGCCUUAGAGGGUGAGAGCCCCGUACGGUUGAAUGCCUAGCCUCUGUAAAUCUCCUUCGACGAGUCGAGUAGUUUGGGAAUGCUGCUCUAAAUGGGAGGUAAAUUUCUUCUAAAGCUAAAUACUGGCCAGAGACCGAUAGCGCACAAGUAGAGUGAUCGAAAGAUGAAAAGCACUUUGAAAAGAGGGUUAAAUAGCACGUGAAAUUGUUGAAAGGGAAGGAUUUAUGACCAGACUUUUUCUGGGCGGAUCAUCCGGUGUUCUCACCGGUGCACUUUGCCCAGUUUAGGCCAGCAUCGAUUUUCGGAGAGGGAUAAAAGCUUUGGGAAUGUGGCUCCCUCCGGGAGUGUUAAUAGCCCAUUGUAUAAUACCUUUCUGGGGAUCGAGGUACGCGCUUCUGCAAGGAUGCUGGCGUAAUGGUUAUCAAUCACCCGUCUUGAAACACGGACCAAGGAGUCGAACAUUUGUGCAAGUGUUUGGGUGUUAAACCCUCACGCGUAAUGAAAGUGAACGGAGGUGAGAGCCCUUACGGGUGCAUCAUCGACCGAUCCUGAAGUUUUCGGAUGGAUUUGAGUAAGAGCAUAACUGUUCGGACCCGAAAGAUGGUGAACUAUGCGUGGAUAGGGUGAAGCCAGAGGAAACUCUGGUGGAGGCUCGCAGCGGUUCUGACGUGCAAAUCGAUCGUCAAAUCUGCGCAUGGGGGCGAAAGACUAAUCGAACCAUCUAGUAGCUGGUUACCG
rnacentral:rRNA from 1 species